rnacentral:rRNA from 1 species
AGCGAACGCUGGCGGCGUGCCUAACACAUGCAAGUCGAGCGUGAAAAGGGAAACCUGAGUACAGUGGCGUACGGGUGAGUAACGCGUAGGUAAUCUACCCCAGAAUCUGGAAUAACCUGCCGAAAGGCGGGCUAAUACUGGAUAGAGCGAGGGAACUCGUAAGAGAGUUUUUCGGGAAAGGGAGCCCGCAAGGGCCUUCGUUCUGGGAUGAGCCUGCGUCUCAUUAGCUAGUUGGUAAGGUAACGGCUUACCAAGGCGAUGAUGAGUAGCUGGUCUGAGAGGAUGAUCAGCCACACUGGAACUGAAACACGGUCCAGACUCCUACGGGAGGCAGCAGUGGGGAAUCUUGCGCAAUGGACGAAAGUCUGACGCAGCCACGCCGCGGGAGUGAAGAAGGCCUUCGGGUUGUAAAGCUCUGUCGGAUGGGACGAACAUCUUCAUAGUGAAUAGCUAUGAGGACUGACGGUACCAUCAAAGGAAGCACCGGCUAACUCCGUG